rnacentral:rRNA from 1 species
AGAGUUUGAUCCUGGCUCAGGAUGAACGCUAGCUACAGGCUUAACACAUGCAAGUCGAGGGGCAGCAUGGUCUUAGCUUGCUAAGGCUGAUGGCGACCGGCGCACGGGUGAGUAACACGUAUCCAACCUGCCGUCUACUCUUGGCCAGCCUUCUGAAAGGAAGAUUAAUCCAGGAUGGGAUCAUGAGUUCACAUGUCCGCAUGAUUAAAGGUAUUUUCCGGUAGACGAUGGGGAUGCGUUCCAUUAGAUAGUAGGCGGGGUAACGGCCCACCUAGUCAACGAUGGAUAGGGGUUCUGAGAGGAAGGUCCCCCACAUUGGAACUGAGACACGGUCCAAACUCCUACGGGAGGCAGCAGUGAGGAAUAUUGGUCAAUGGGCGAUGGCCUGAACCAGCCAAGUAGCGUGAAGGAUGACUGCCCUAUGGGUUGUAAACUUCUUUUAUAAAGGAAUAAAGUCGGGUAUGCAUACCCGUUUGCAUGUACUUUAUGAAUAAGGAUCGGCUAACUCCGUGCCAGCAGCCGCGGUAAUACGGAGGAUCCGAGCGUUAUCCGGAUUUAUUGGGUUUAAAGGGAGCGUAGAUGGAUGUUUAAGUCAGUUGUGAAAGUUUGCGGCUCAACCGUAAAAUUGCAGUUGAUACUGGAUGUCUUGAGUGCAGUUGAGGCAGGCGGAAUUCGUGGUGUAGCGGUGAAAUGCUUAGAUAUCACGAAGAACUCCGAUUGCGAAGGCAGCCUGCUAAGCUGCAACUGACAUUGAGGCUCGAAAGUGUGGGUAUCAAACAGGAUUAGAUACCCUGGUAGUCCACACGGUAAACGAUGAAUACUCGCUGUUUGCGAUAUACGGCAAGCGGCCAAGCGAAAGCGUUAAGUAUUCCACCUGGGGAGUACGCCGGCAAGGUUGAAACUCAAAGGAAUUGACGGGGGCCCGCACAAGCAGUGGAGUAUGUGGUUUAAUUCGACGCAACGCGAAGAACCUUACCAAGUCUUGACAUCCUGCGACGCACAUAGAAAUAUGUGUUUCCUUCGGGACGCAGAGACAGGUGGUGCAUGGUUGUCGUCAGCUCGUGUCGUGAGAUGUUGGGUUAAGUCCCGCAACGAGCGCAACCCUUAUGGUCAGUUACUACGUAAGAGGACUCUGGCCAGACUGCCGUUGACAAAACGGAGGAAGGUGGGGAUGACGUCAAAUCAUCAUGCCCUUUAUGACUUGGGCUACACACGUACUACAAUGGCGUUAAACAAAGAGAAGCAAGACCGCGAGGUGGAGCAAAACUCAGAAACAACGUCCCAGUUCGGACUGCAGGCUGCAACUCGCCUGCACGAAGUCGGAAUUGCUAGUAAUCGCAGAUCAGCAUGCUGCGGUGAAUACGUUCCCGGGCCUUGCACUCACCGCCCGUCAAG